rnacentral:rRNA from 1 species
UACAGAGGUCCCGAGCGUUGUUCGGAUUCACUGGGCGUAAAGGGUGCGUAGGCGGUUCGGUAAGUCCGCUGUGAAAGUCGGGGGCUCAACCCUCGAAUGCCGGUGGAUACUGUCGGGCUAGAGUGCGGAAGAGGCGAGUGGAAUUCCUGGUGUAGCGGUGAAAUGCGCAGAUAUCAGGAGGAACACCAAUUGCGAAGGCAGCUCGCUGGGACGUUACUGACGCUGAGACGCGAAAGCGUGGGGAGCAAACAGG